rnacentral:rRNA from 1 species
CGGGUGAGUAAUGCCUAGGAAUCUGCCUGGUAGUGGGGGAUAACGUUCGGAAACGAACGCUAAUACCGCAUACGUCCUACGGGAGAAAGCAGGGGACCUUCGGGCCUUGCGCUAUCAGAUGAGCCUAGGUCGGAUUAGCUAGUUGGUGAGGUAAUGGCUCACCAAGGCGACGAUCCGUAACUGGUCUGAGAGGAUGAUCAGUCACACUGGAACUGAGACACGGUCCAGACUCCUACGGGAGGCAGCAGUGGGGAAUAUUGGACAAUGGGCGAAAGCCUGAUCCAGCCAUGCCGCGUGUGUGAAGAAGGUCUUCGGAUUGUAAAGCACUUUAAGUUGGGAGGAAGGGCAGUUACCUAAUACGUAAUUGUUUUGACGUUACCGACAGAAUAAGCACCGGCUAACUCUGUGCCAGCAGCCGCGGUAAUACAGAGGGUGCAAGCGUUAAUCGGAAUUACUGGGCGUAAAGCGCGCGUAGGUGGUUCGUUAAGUUGGAUGUGAAAUCCCCGGGCUCAACCUGGGAACUGCAUUCAAAACUGUCGAGCUAGAGUAUGGUAGAGGGUGGUGGAAUUUCCUGUGUAGCGGUGAAAUGCGUAGAUAUAGGAAGGAACACCAGUGGCGAAGGCGACCACCUGGACUGAUACUGACACUGAGGU